rnacentral:rRNA from 1 species
GACGAACGCUGGCGGCGUGCUUAACACAUGCAAGUCGAACGAUGAUCUCCCGCUUGCGGGGGUGAUUAGUGGCGAACGGGUGAGUAAUACGUGAGUAACCUGCCCUUGACUCUGGGAUAAGCCUGGGAAACCGGGUCUAAUACUGGAUACUACUUCCUGCCGCAUGGUGGGGGGUGGAAAGUGUUUUACUGGUUUUGGAUGGGCUCACGGCCUAUCAGCUUGUUGGUGGAGUAAUGCCUCACCAAGGCGACGACGGGGAGCCGGCCUGAGAGGGUGACCGGCCACACUAGGACUGAGACACGGCCCAGACUCCUACGGGAGGAAGCAGUGGGGAAUAUUGCACAAGGGGAGGAAGCCUGAUGCAGCGACGCCGCGUGAGGGAUGACGGGCUUCGGGUUGUAAACCUCUUUCAGCAGGGAAGAAGCCACAAGUGACGGUACCUGCAGAAGAAGCGCCGGCUAACUACGUG